AACAGGGAUUGCCCUAGUACGGCGAGUGAAGCGGCAACAGCUCAAAUUUGAAAUCUGGCCUCGGCCCGAGUUGUAAUUUGCAGAGGAUGUUUCUGGCGCGGUGCCUUCCGAGUUCCCUGGAACGGGACGCCACAGAGGGUGAGAGCCCCGUAUGGUUGGACACUAAGCCUGUGUGAAACUCCUUCGACGAGUCGAGUAGUUUGGGAAUGCUGCUCAAAAUGGGAGGUAAAUCUCUUCUAAAGCUAAAUACCGGCCAGAGACCGAUAGCGCACAAGUAGAGUGAUCGAAAGAUGAAAAGCACCUUGAAAAGGGGGUUAAACAGUACGUGAAAUUGUUGAAAGGGAAGCGCUUGUGACCAGACUUGCGCCGGGCGGCUCAUCCGGGGUUUUCCCCGGUGCACUCCGCCCGGCUCAGGCCAGCAUCGGUUCUCGUUGGGGGAUAAGAACGGCAGGAACGUGGCCCUCCUUCGGGUGGGUGUUAUAGCCUGCCGUACGAUACCCUGACGGGGACCGAGGUUCGCGCUCCGCAAGGAUGCUGGCGUAAUGGUCAUCAGCGACCCGUCUUGAAACACGGACCAAGGAGUCGUCCAUUAGAGCGAGCGUUUGGGUGUCAAACCCGCACGCGUAAUGAAAGUGAAAUUAGGUGAGAGCUUCGGCGCAUCAUCGACCGAUCCUGAUGUUCUCGGAUGGAUUUGAGUAAGAGUUUUAACGGACGGACCCGAAAGACAGUGAACUAUGCUUGUAUAGGGUGAAGCCAGAGGAAACUCUGGUGGAGGCUCGCAGCGGUUCUGACGUGCAAAUCGAUCGUCAAAUAUGAGCAUGGGGCGAAAGACUAAUCGAAU
rnacentral:rRNA from 1 species